rnacentral:rRNA from 1 species
UACGGAGGGGGCUAGCGUUGUUCGGAAUUACUGGGCGUAAAGCGUGCGCAGGCGGCUUUGCAAGACAGAUGUGAAAUCCCCGGGCUCAACCUGGGAACUGCGCUUGUGACUGCAAAGCUGGAGUGCGGCAGAGGGGGAUGGAAUUCCGCGUGUAGCAGUGAAAUGCGUAGAUAUGCGGAGGAACACCGAUGGCGAAGGCAAUCCCCUGGGCCUGCACUGACGCUCAUGCACGAAAGCGUGGGGAGCAAACAGG